AUAAACAAAAAUUAACAGUAAACAUUACACUCACAGAAGUUCCAAAAUAAUAAAGACAUUACAUUAUUUUGUAGUGAGUGUAAACGCCAAGCGGAUGCUUCAUAUUUAUACAUCCGGUGAAUUAUCUGUCUCAUUGUUCGGUGGUGAUUCUUUCAACAACGGCUAGUCGGUCGUCACUAGUUACCACAGUCAUAAAGUCAUAAUUAUGGCUAAACCCCAUCCAUUUCUACAACUUCUCUUCUUAAAAUCUGUUUUUUUUUUAACCUAACCUUAACCACACUGCUAAGAUUAUGCCUAAUCCUAACCUUAAAUUAAGACCAAAAAGUAAAAAUCUGUUUUCAUAAAUGUUUUGCCAAUGUUGACUUUGUGGCUGUGGUAACUAGUGACAACCCAGCUAGACAGCGAUGUUAUUUUAUAGUUAAACGACAGUCAGCCACUUCGGUAGCUUGCUAGCUGAAACAUUGAAGCUCUAGACUCGUUCAUGUAUAUUAUCCACUGUGUUUUAGACUCACUUCUGUCGUCUAGCUAGUUAUCCCAUUUAAUUUCAUAUUUACGUUGUUGUUAUUAGUCAGCUAACGUAGCUGGCUGGUUAAAUUCACUAGCCUAGCUAGCUAACUGUUAGCUAACAUCCCCGACCAUGAGUUCACUAAACUACUCUCCCCCUGCUAAAGAAGAAGAGGUCUGCUGGACGGAGAAAGAGGGUCUGUGGCUGAACGUUGUCGUGAAAGAGGAGAAGGAAGAGGAGGAUGUCACAGUAACAAAAGUAGAGGAUGAGGAUGUUGCAGUGAAGGAAGAGAAAGAGGAGGGAGAGAUAACUGUCAUAUUGGAAGAAGAGGAAGAGGAGGAUAUUGGACAUCUGAUUAAGCCCAGAGAGAGACGUGAUUAUCGUGGAUCCUCUGGGGAGCCUCAACAACCUCAUGAAGCAGAGAAGAGACUCUCCACAUCAGAACACCUCAAGAAACAUCAACGGAAACCCACAGGGAAGAAACUUCACCGCUGCUCUGACUGUGGGAAGAGUUAUUCAAGAUCAGAUUCACUAAAAGUACACCAGAAAAUUCACACUGGAGAUAAAUCCCAUUGCUGCUCAGACUGUGGGAAGAGUUACUCCAGAUCAGAUUCACUAAAAGUACACCAGAGAAUUCACACUGCAGAGAAAACGUAUAGCUGUGAUCAAUGCGGGAAAAGUUUUACUUCUCCUAGCCAGCUGACUAUACACCAGAGAACACACACAGGAGAGAAACCUUUCCACUGCUCUGACUGUGGAAAGAGUUUUGUUAUCGCAGGAAAUUUAAAAUCACACCAGAGAACACACACAGGAGAGAAGCCUUAUAGCUGUAAUCAAUGUGGGAAGAGUUUUGCUUACUCAAGCAGCCUGAUAGCACAUUUAAAAACACACACAUGAGAGAAUCUACUGCGCUGACUGUGGGGAGACCUUUUCAGAAUCACCUACAUUACAAUCACAGCAGAAAAUUUACACAGGAAAGAAAUCUUAUAGUAUUUUAAUUAAUAAUGUCACAAUGUAGAAUCCCAAAUGUUUGCCCCCUGUUCUAUUGAUUUCAGCAUGAUAUGGAUAUUAGGGGAAAAAAAUCCAGGCUCUGAAUUGAAAGAGUACUAUUUAUGUGAUUAACAAAAAGUGACUAACUAAAGAAAGUGUUGCGUUACACUUACCUCAUUGGUGACCCACUUCAAUCAAAAUAUAACACUUCAAAAUGUAGCUAGCUGUUCUCUAGAAAUUGUCCUCUAACCAGUGAUUCCGUGUGGUGUUUGAGCUGUUAGUUUUAACAGGACGUGCAACCUCAUCUCCCCCCUCUUGCGCAAUUGAUUUCAACGUGAUAUCGAUGAGUGAUGGCAAAUAAGUGUUGUAUUCCUUUGUUUAGCGACCCACACAUUUAAAUGCAUCACUCCAAAAUGUAGCUGACUGUCUUCUGCAGGUUGUCCUCUAACCAGUGAGGUAAAAGAUAUCUCCCAUUUCCAUGUGUGUUUUUAGUUGUGUUAGUUUCAACAGCACGUACAACCUGAUUUUUAUCCGAUCAAUGUCCGUAAUUUAUUGCCACUUGUCAAAACAACAGUGUUUUUGGUGCUUGUGCAGUUUAUAAGGAGCUUGUUUAAAAAAAAAAAAAUGAAAGGAAUAUGCUUAUUAUUGUGUUUGUGUAUAUAGUACAUUUUAUGUUUUAGAUUUUCAAUAUAUCACAAACUGUUUCUGCAUAUUGGUUAUUGAUUUGGACGCGUUAAAAAUGUUUGGACUUUGGGCUAUCCCACCUAGCAAAAUGUAAUUGAAAAGACGUUGAAAAAAAGACCGAAGUUCAAUCUACGUUUUUUUUAAGUAUUAAAGACUUAUUUGUAUUCAACGUUUUUAACUUUUUUUAUUAUCCCAUUCCUCACCAUUAAGUGAAUUAUUGCCAAUACAUAUUAACAAAGGGGUGUACAUUCGGUUUUGAUAUUUCAAAAUAUUUACAUUUCAUGUAACAUUUUAGUAAUCAUAAUUAUUUAUGCAACCAACUGACAAUUUGUUUUUACGAUUAUAUUGUUGACUAACAAUGUAGUAAAACAAGCUUAUAUUUUUGGUUGGAUAUUAUAUCCUAUUCUUACUAUUUUAAUCAAUGUCAUUUUUUUAGAAUGCUCAAUAGUCUUUAAGUUAUUAUUGUUCUUUAGUUUUUUAUCCUCUUAUGUUUGUUUUGUAGUAAAUAUUACAGUUUUUAUUUUCAUUCGUUUUUUUAAUGAUUUUUUUUCUUUGAAGCGCAUUGCUUUGCAUCCAUGUCUGAAAUGUGCUGUAUAAAUAAAGCUUGAUUUGAACAUA